rnacentral:rRNA from 1 species
AACGCGAAGAACCUUACCCACUCUUGACAUCCAGAGAACUUUCCAGAGAUGGAUUGGUGCCUUCGGGAACUCUGAGACAGGUGCUGCAUGGCUGUCGUCAGCUCGUGUUGUGAAAUGUUGGGUUAAGUCCCGCAACGAGCGCAACCCUUAUCCUUUGUUGCCAGCGGUCCGGCCGGGAACUCAAAGGAGACUGCCAGUGAUAAACUGGAGGAAGGUGGGGAUGACGUCAAGUCAUCAUGGCCCUUACGAGUAGGGCUACACACGUGCUACAAUGGCGCAUACAAAGAGAAGCGACCUCGCGAGAGCAAGCGGACCUCAUAAAGUGCGUCGUAGUCCGGAUUGGAGUCUGCAACUCGACUCCAUGAAGUCGGAAUCCCUAGUAAUCGUAGAUCAGAAUGCUACGGUGAAUACGUUCCCGGGCCUUGUACACACCG